rnacentral:rRNA from 1 species
GAUCAUGGCUCAGGAUGAACGCUAGCUACAGGCUUAACACAUGCAAGUCGAGGGGCAGCAUUGGAGUAGCAAUACUCAGAUGGCGACCGGCGCACGGGUGAGUAACACGUAUCCAACCUGCCGCUUACUCGGGGAUAGCCUUUCGAAAGAAAGAUUAAUACCCGAUGGUAUAAAGAGUUCGCAUGUUCUCUUUAUUAAAGAAUUUCGGAAGCGAUGGGAUGCGUUCCAUUAGAUAGUUGGCGGGGUAACGGCCCACCAAGUCUACGAUGGAUAGGGGUUCUGAGAGGAAGGUCCCCCACAUUGGAACUGAGACACGGUCCAAACUCCUACGGGAGGCAGCAGUGAGGAAUAUUGGUCAAUGGACGAGAGUCUGAACCAGCCAAAGUAGCGUGAAGGAUGACUGCCCUAUGGGUUGUAAACUUCUUUUAUAAGGGAAUAAAGUGAGGGACGUGUCCCUUUUUGUAUGUACCUUAUGAAUAAGGAUCGGCUAACUCCGUGCCAGCCGCCGC